rnacentral:tRNA from 1 species
GGCCCCGUAGCUCAGCUGGUAGAGUGUGCGCUUUACAGAAGCGUAGGCGGCGUCCAUGUGUGGGGUCGAAUCCCGCCGAGGCUA